rnacentral:rRNA from 1 species
GACGAACGCUGGCGGCGUGCUUAACACAUGCAAGUCGAACGGAAAGGCCCUGCUUUUGUGGGGUUCUCGAGUGGCGAACGGGUGAGUAACACGUGAGUAACCUGCCCUUGACUUUGGGAUAACUUCAGGAAACUGGGGCUAAUACCGGAUAGGAGCUCCUGCUGCAUGGUGGGGGUUGGAAAGUUUCGGCGGUUGGGGAUGGACUCGCGGCUUAUCAGCUUGUUGGUGGGGUAGUGGCUUACCAAGUCUUUGACGGGUAGCCGGCCUGAGAGGGUGACCGGCCACAUUGGGACUGAGAUACGGCCCAGACGGCUACGGGAGGCAGAAGUGGGGAAUAUUGCACAAUGGGCGGAAGCCUGAUGCAGAAACGCCGCGUGCGGGAUGACGGCCUUCGGGUUGUAAACCGCUUUCGCCUGUGACGAAGCGUGAGUGACGGUAAUGGGUAAAGAAGCACCGGCUAACUACGUG